GAUAUGGAACCAAAAUACAUCCACCUGAAACAUUUAACAAGAAGAUGUGUAUGCCUUUAAAUUCAAAUGACAGUACAGUGCAAGAAAAGUUUGAUCGAAUUGGAGAUAGCAAUAAAGUUCAUAAUAGCGAAAAGAAAGAUAAAGUGACCUAUAGAAAAGUAUGUGAGGCUUCUAAAUGCAAAAAAGGCAUUUCAUUACCAUAUUCGCUGAUAUUUGUUUGUUCAAUUUUUGCCGCAUGUUGCGUAAACUCUGGUGCUGCAAUCAGAAGAAUAAAAAGAUCUGAUAAUGAGCAAACAGUUGAAUGUCAGGUGAGCUUUAUUAAUUUCAUGUUUGUACUAGCUGUUUUCUAGUUAUUUUUUUUUUCUUUAACUUUAUAGCAAAAUAUGUAUGUUUAUGUAAAUCUGUCAAUUGGUGAUGGCCCCUUGCAUGGUGUAGGCACCAUCACCAUGAUAUGAAUAUGUGAUAAAUCUGAGGCGUAACCUUAAUGUUUGCUAGCUUUGAGGAGGGUGCAUAGGUUGCAAUUUGUUUUUAGCAAAGCAAAAAUGAAUAUUUAUUUUAGACACUAGAAGUUGAAGUUAUUCUUAAACAUGACUAUUUCUGU